rnacentral:rRNA from 1 species
GGCUCACGUCGAACGCUGGCGGCGCGCCUAACACAUGCAAGUCGAACGGAGCUGAGAGGAGCUUGCUUUUCUUGACUUAGUGGCGAACGGGUGAGUAACGCGUGAGUAACCUGCCCUGGAGUGGGGGACAACAGUUGGAAACGACUGCUAAUACCGCAUAAGCCCGCGGAUCCGCAUGGAUCUGCGGGAAAAGAUUUAUUCGCUCUAGGAUGGACUCGCGUCCAAUUAGCUAGUUGGUGAGGUAACGGCCCACCAAGGCGACGAUUGGUAGCCGGACUGAGAGGUUGAACGGCCACAUUGGGACUGAGACACGGCCCAGACUCCUACGGGAGGCAGCAGUGGGGGAUAUUGCACAAUGGGGGAAACCCUGAUGCAGCGACGCCGCGUGGAGGAAGAAGGUUUUCGGAUUGUAAACUCCUGUCGUUAGGGACGAUAAUGACGGUACCUAACAAGAAAGCACCGGCUAACUACGUGCCAGCAGCCGCGGUAAAACGUAGGGUGCAAGCGUUGUCCGGAAUUACUGGGUGUAAAGGGAGCGCAGGCGGACCGGCAAGUUGGAAGUGAAAACUAUGGGCUCAACCCAUAAAUUGCUUUCAAAACUGCUGGCCUUGAGUAGUGCAGAGGUAGGUGGAAUUCCCGGUGUAGCGGUGGAAUGCGUAGAUAUCGGGAGGAACACCAGUGGCGAAGGCGACCUACUGGGCACCAACUGACGCUGAGGCUCGAAAGCAUGGGUAGCAAACAGGAUUAGAUACCCUGGUAGUCCAUGCCGUAAACGAUGAUUACUAGGUGUUGGAGGAUUGACCCCUUCAGUGCCGCAGUUAACACAAUAAGUAAUCCACCUGGGGAGUACGACCGCAAGGUUGAAACUCAAAGGAAUUGACGGGGGCCCGCACAAGCAGUGGAGUAUGUGGUUUAAUUCGAAGCAACGCGAAGAACCUUACCAGGUCUUGACAUCCGAUGCAUAGUGCAGAGAUGCAUGAAGUCCUUCGGGACAUCGAGACAGGUGGUGCAUGGUUGUCGUCAGCUCGUGUCGUGAGAUGUUGGGUUAAGUCCCGCAACGAGCGCAACCCUUAUUGCCAGUUACUACGCAAGAGGACUCUGGCGAGACUGCCGUUGACAAAACGGAGGAAGGUGGGGAUGACGUCAAAUCAUCAUGCCCUUUAUGACCUGGGCUACACACGUACUACAAUGGCGUUUAACAAAGAGAAGCAAGACCGCGAGGUGGAGCAAAACUCAAAAACAACGUCUCAGUUCAGAUUGCAGGCUGCAACUCGCCUGCAUGAAGUCGGAAUUGCUAGUAAUCGCGGAUCAGCAUGCCGCGGUGAAUACGUUCCCGGGCCUUGUACACACCGCC